rnacentral:rRNA from 1 species
AGAGUUUGAUCCUGGCUCAGAACGAACGCUGGUGGUAUGCUUAACACAUGCAAGUCGAACGGAUUUAUUUGAGCUUGCUUAAAUAAAUUAGUGGCAAACGGGUGAGUAAUACAUAGGAAUCUACCUAGCCGUAAGGAAUAACCCUGGGAAACCAGAGCUAAUGCCAUAUAUUACCGAUUGGAUUUAAUUUAUCGGGAAAGAUUUAUCGCUGUUAGAUGAGCCUGUGCCCCAUUAGCUUGUUGGUAGGGUAAUGGCCUACCAAGGCGAUGAUGGGUAGCUGGUCUGAGAGGAUGAUCAGCCACACUGGGACUGCGACACGGCCCAGACUCCUACGGGAGGCAGCAGUGGGGAAUAUUGGACAAUGGGCGCAAGCCUGAUCCAGCAAUACCACGUGAGUGAUGAAGGCUUUCGGGUUGUAAAACUCUUUUAGUAGGGAAGAUAAUGACGGUACCUACAGAAAAAGCACCGGCUAACUUCGUGCCAGCAGCCGCGGUAAUACGAAGGGUGCUAGCGUUGUUCGGAAUUAUUGGGCGUAAAGCGUGCGUAGGCGGCUUAGUAAGUCAGCUGUGAAAGCCCAGGGCUCAACCCUGGAACUGCAGUUGAAACUACUAUGGCUAGAGUAUGGCAGGGGACAGUGGAAUUCCUAGUGUAGGGGUGAAAUCCGUAGAUAUUAGGAGGAACAUCAGUGGCGAAGGCGACUGUCUAUACCAUUACUGACGCUGAGGUACGAAAGCGUGGGGAGCAAACAGGAUUAGAUACCCUGGUAGUCCACGCAGUAAACGAUGAGUGCUGGCUGUCGGGACCACGAGUUUCGGUGGCGAAGCUAACGCGUUAAGCACUCCGCCUGGGGAGUACGGCCGCAAGGCUAAAACUCAAAGGAAUUGACGGGGACCCGCACAAGCAGUGGAGCAUGUGGUUUAAUUCGAUGCAACGCGAAGAACCUUACCAGCUCUUGAAUCCUGGUCGCGAUUUUCAGAGAUGAAUUUCUUCAGUUCGGCUGGACCAGUGACAGGUGUUGCAUGGCUGUCGUCAGCUCGUGUCGUGAGAUGUUAGGUUAAGUCCUUCAACGAGCGCAACCCUCAUCCUUAUUUGCCAUCGGGUUAUGCCGGGAACUAUAAGGAAACUGCCAACGACAAGUUGGAGGAAGGUGGGGACGAUGUCAAGUCAUCAUGGCCCUUAUGGGCUGGGCUACACACAUGCUACAAUGGUGGUUACAACGGGCUAGCGAAAGAGCAAUCUGGAGCCAAUCCUUCAAAAACCAUCUCAGUUCGAAUUGGGGGCUGCAACUCGCCCCCAUGAAGUUGGAAUUGCUAGUAAUCGCGAAUCAGAACGUCGCGGUGAAUACGUUCUCGGGUCUUGUACACACUGCCCGUCAAGCCAUGGGAGUUGUUUCUACCUGAAUAUGGUGAGCUAACCUUCGGGAGGUAGCCAUACACGGUAGGAAUAGUGACUGGGGUUAAGUCGUAACAAGGUA